CCUACGGGAGGCAGCAGUGAGGAAUAUUGGUCAAUGGGCGAGAGCCUGAACCAGCCAAGUCGCGUGAGGGAGUACUGCCCUAUGGGUUGUAAACCUCUUUUGUCGGGGAGCAAAAGCCGGACGUCUCCGGCGGUGAGAGUACCCGCGGAAAAAGCAUCUGCUAACUCCGGGCCAGCAGCCGCGGUAUUACGGAGGAGGCGAGCGUUAUCUGGAUUUAUUGGGGUUAAAGGGUGCGCAGGCGGAUUUUGAAGUCAGCGGUAAAAUCGUGGGGCUCAACCCCAGCCGGCCGUUGAAACUGGGGAUCUUGAGUGGGCGAGAGGUAUGCGGAAUGCGUGGUGUAGCGGUGAAAUGCAUAGAUAUCACGCAGAACCCCGAUUGCGAAGGCAGCAUACCGGUACACAACUGACGCUGAGGCACGAAAGCGUGGGGAUCGAACAGGAUUAGAUACCCCUGUAGUC
rnacentral:rRNA from 1 species